rnacentral:rRNA from 1 species
UACGAAGGGGGCUAGCGUUGCUCGGAAUUACUGGGCGUAAAGGGAGCGUAGGCGGAUAGUUUAGUCAGAGGCUGAAAGCCCAGGGCUCAACCUUGGAAUUGCCUUUGAUACUGGCUAUCUUGAGUACGGAAGAGGUAUGUGGAACUCCGAGUGUAGAGGUGAAAUUCGUAGAUAUUCGGAAGAACACCAGUGGCGAAGGCGACAUACUGGUC